GAUGAACGCUGGCGGCGUGCCUAAUACAUGCAAGUCGAGCGAAUGGAUUAAGAGCUUGCUCUUAUGAAGUUAGCGGCGGACGGGUGAGUAACACGUGGGUAACCUGCCCAUAAGACUGGGAUAACUCCGGGAAACCGGGGCUAAUACCGGAUAACAUUUUGAACCGCAUGGUUCGAAAUUGAAAGGCGGCUUCGGCUGUCACUUAUGGAUGGACCCGGGUCGCAUUAGCUAGUUGGUGAGGUAACGGCUCCCCAAGGCAACGAUGCGUAACCGACCUGAGGAGGUGAUCGGCCAAACUGGGACUGAGACACGGCCCAGACUCCUACGGGAGGCAGCAGUAGGGAAUCUUCCGCAAUGGACGAAAGUCUGACGGAGCAACGCCGCGUGGGUGAUGAAGGCUUUAGGGUCGUAAAACUCUGUUGUUAGGGAAGAACAAGUGCUAGUUGAAUAAGCUGGCACCUUGACGGUACCUAACCAGAAAGCCACGGCUAACUACGUGCCAGCCGCCGCAGUAA
rnacentral:rRNA from 1 species